AUGGACAGCACGGUGGACGCAAUAGUGGCGGCCUACAAGGCGCUGGUGGACGCCGCGGCGGCGGCCGCCUUCCGCGAGCCCGACCGCGAGGCGGCGCUGCAGGAAGUGCAGCGCUGCCUGCACGCCUUCAAAGAGUCCUGCGAUCGCGCCGAGGACCUCGUCCGGGCGGCCGCCGCCACCCUCGAUUUCGCGCCCGCCGCCGCCACAACCCUCGACGCACUCUGCAACACCGUGCACGGCAUCGAGAAGGACGCCCAGGCCGCCCCCGACGGCGGAGACGAGGAGGAGGUGCAGGAUGGGAAGGGCCGCGCGCCCUCGCCGCCGGCGGCGCCCGUGGCGGUGGCGGCCGACGAUGUCUAG
rnacentral:rRNA from 1 species